CGCCCUUCAGUGCUGCAGCUAACGCAUUAAGCACUCCGCCUGGGGAGUACGACCGCAAGGUUGAAACUCAAAGGAAUUGACGGGGGCCCGCACAAGCGGUGGAGCAUGUGGUUUAAUUCGAAGCAACGCGAAGAACCUUACCAGGUCUUGACAUCCUUUGACCACUCUAGAGAUAGAGCUUCCCCUUCGGGGGCAAAGUGACAGGUGGUGCAUGGUUGUCGUCAGCUCGUGUCGUGAGAUGUUGGGUUAAGUCCCGCAACGAGCGCAACCCUUAUUGUUAGUUGCCAUCAUUCAGUUGGGCACUCUAGCAAGACUGCCGGUGACAAACCGGAGGAAGGUGGGGAUGACGUCAAAUCAUCAUGCCCCUUAUGACCUGGGCUACACACGUGCUACAAUGGGAAGUACAACGAGUUGCGAAGUCGCGAGGCUAAGCUAAUCUCUUAAAGCUUCUCUCAGUUCGGAUUGCAGGCUGCAACUCGCCUGCAUGAAGCCGGAAUCGCUAGUAAUCGCGGAUCAGCACGCCGCGGUGAAUACGUUCCCGGGCCUUGUACACACCGCCCGUCACACCACGAGAGUUUGUAACACCCGAAGUCGGUGAGGUAACCUUUU
rnacentral:rRNA from 1 species